rnacentral:rRNA from 1 species
CCUACGGGCGGCAGCAGUGGGGAAUAUUGGGCAAUGGGCGCAAGCCUGACCCAGCAACGCCGCGUGAAGGAAGAAGGCCCUCGGGUUGUAAACUUCUUUUAACAGGGACGAAGGAAGUGACGGUACCUGUUCAAUAAGCCACGGCUAACUACGUGCCAGCAGCCGCGGUAAUACGUAGGUGGCAAGCGUUAUCCGGAUUUACUGGGUGUAAAGGGAGUGUAGGCGGGUGUGCAAGUCAGACGUGAAAUUCCAGGGCUCAACCCUGGAACUGCGUUUGAAACUGUACGGCUUGAGUGAUGGAGAGGCAAGCGGAAUUCCGUGUGUAGCGGGGAAAUGCGUAGAUAUACGGAGGAACACCAGUGGCGAAGGCGGCCUGCUGGACAUUAACUGACGCUGAGGCGCGAAAGCGUGGGGAGCAAACAGGAUUAGAUACCCCUGUAGUC